UCGAUGAGAUCCCCAUUCACAUCAAUGGUCAUAGUCCGGUUUCCACGGUGACAAGCUCUGAUUACCACGACUACACAAGCAAGCGGCAUGGCAGCGAUGGUGAGGCAGAGACCUUAGCAAGUUGCCUGAUGCAGUUACCCACAUUUGUGUAGCUAUUAGAAGCAGAGAAUGUGUAAGAAAGGGACAGUCGACUACAUUGCCAAGAUAGAGUCCAAUGGCAACAUAAACAUGCUAUACUGAAUAUGGCUGCAGGACUGCAUCUGAAGACGACGAUGACUGUGGGAAGUGCUUUGAUCCCAAUGC
rnacentral:lncRNA from 1 species